AUCCAGGUGACGAGUCCCAAAUAGAACGAAAUGCGCCUCCUGUAU
rnacentral:hammerhead_ribozyme from 1 species